rnacentral:pre_miRNA from 1 species
AGUCAUGUCUUCUAAGCCAAGGAUGACUUGCCUGGCUAAAAACCAUUACAUGGGACCUGAUGAGUAUGUCCCUUGUUUAGUUUUCCGGCAGGCGGGUUAUCCUAGGCUUUUUGACUGUCUCU